AACGAACGCUGGCGGCAGGCCUAACACAUGCAAGUCGAACGCCCCGCAAGGGGAGCGGCAGCCGGGUGAGUACCACGUGGGAACCUUCCCUAUAGUACGGAAUAGCCCAGGGAAACUUGGAGUAAUACCGUAUACGCCCGAAAGGGGAAAGAAUUUCGCUAUAGGAUGGGCCCGCGUAGGAUUAGCUAGUUGGUGAGGUAAUGGCUCACCAAGGCGACGAUCCUUAGCUGGUUUGAGAGAACGACCAGCCACACUGGGACUGAGACACGGCCCAGACUCCUACGGGAGGCAGCAGUGGGGAAUAUUGGACAAUGGGCGCAAGCCUGAUCCAGCCAUGCCGCGUGAGUGAUGAAGGCCUUAGGGUUGUAAAGCUCUUUUGGCGGGGACGAUAAUGACGGUACCCGCAGAAUAAGUCCCGGCUAACUUCGUG
rnacentral:rRNA from 1 species